CCAUCGACGCCUCCAAACCCUUACAGCAGCAGCAAAUGCUACCCCAGGACCAGCAAACAAGGUCCCACACGUGCCGCCCAGGAGCCCUCAGGUGCCUUUCCCCUUGUGCCCGACACCCACUGGUGCCACAUCCAACCCCGCGCUCCCUGGCUGCAGCAGCCCAGCGCUGGAACCAGCGCCAGCGGGGGAACGCCAGCGCCGUUUUCCCGACGGCGGACUUUAAAAGGCAGCAGAGAGCUCCUUCCCUCCUCUCCCCGCGCACGCCGCCCGAUGCCAGGAAUAACUCCUCGGAGCGAGGUACAGUGUCAUCAGCCUACUAAGAAAUAGCUACGUCAAUAAGCAUCAACAGAACCCAUAGACUGUAUCACUUAAUGUCCUCACACGCUCAGCUAUCUUGAAGAGUCCAAACUUUUCAGUUUAGAGGGAAGAUAGCACCUUGCCUGUGAUUUAUAAAGAAAGCUUGGAUAACCAGAUACAGAUGCUAUCUCAUUGAGCUUCUGGGAUUCCUGAACAAAGUUCACACUUGAGAACAAACCUCUGUGUAAAGGUUUGUAUGUUUCUGUGUAAAGGAUGCUCAGGUUAUCUUUUAACAAACAAGUCUUUCUCUGAAUUCUGGUAACUAUUUAUAUAGAACUUUGUGUUUCUGCUGUUUUAUUUUACCUGACGUGAACUUAGUUCUCCAAAAGUCUGGAGGCACUUUAGCAGUCCAUGUCAAUUGUGCACUGUAGACACAUCAUGAGAAACAUGAGCUGCUCUACACGUUUCAGUCAGAUAGUUAAUUUUAAUGACAAAGGCAAUUCUACAUCAAUGGCACUGGUCAGUAAUUAAUUAACAGUCCAUUACUCUGAUGUUUGCCAUACAUUUUAGUUUCAGUUCAGCAGUUUUACUCUGUAUCCUCGAGCUCCUGCUUAUCACAACCUCCAGCUCUCCUGAAUCAGUUUCUGUGGUUCAACGUGUCUCAGUCGCUCAGAAAACGGACCAAAAUUUUUUUAAAAAUCACUUUUGAGAAUAAAGUAAUACUUUUAAUCAACUUUCCCAGGAAGAUUUCACUGACCUUUGGGUUGCUGUGUAGUCCUUCAAACAGCUAUUCUUCCCCUUCUCUGUAGCCAAAGAUGUAAGAGAAGAACUUCCCACAGGAAAAGGGUGGGAGAGAGCAGCCAGAUGUGAAAGACUUAAACAGCCCUUCUGCCCUCAGAAAAGAAGGAGUAUAAAUAUAUACUGACACAUUUUUAAGUUCAGCUCUGCCUAGCAUGGUGGGAAGGAAGUUCUCUGAAUCAUUCAGUCCCAGUUAUACCACUGGAAAAACCAUAAUGUCAGCACACUGCUCCAUCUCUGCAUAACAACAGCAUUCAUUAAUUACUGAAAUAUUCCCCGAGGAAAAUAAUGUUUACAACUGGGGCUUGUAACUGACUACAGAGAUGCCACAGAUUCUAUGACUAGGUGCAUUGCGUAUGUCCUUGCUCAUCAGUGUUCCGAUGUGUGUACUUUAAAACUAAGUAUACAUUAUGCAUAUAUGUACUCUGAAGUGGACUAAAAUGAUAUGUUUGCAGCUUUUUGAUGAGAUGAAGCUGAAGUUUUAAGUGGUAAGGAAGAAUGCAAAAUUUUGGAUAUUGCACAUAGUUUUUCUUCUUGAUUUAGAACAUUUGGUCUUCAAGUUUUUUCUUCGAAGAAAAAUAUCACCUAGAUAACUUCCUCAACUGCCACUGAACUUUGGAUUUGCUCUUUCGUUGCGGUGGCUAAGUACACUUUACACCCCUCAAGUUGCCUUAAAAAUGGUCCCUCCUUACAACAAUGUGCUAGAAAAGUUCUCCCUUUGUCUAGAUUCUGCUGGUCACUGGCCCUCUCCCCCUCCCAUCCCUUUUCCCAUUGGCCCCUGUUAUGUCACUCAGCCUUGCCUCUGCCCCCUAGCCCUCAGACUAUUGGUUUUGGAUGCUCUGCCCGCCUUUGGGAGUUUUCGGGAUAAAACGAGCGCGGGCUUUCGGUUGUUUUUCGUUCUUGCCGCUGUUCCCUUCGGAGUGUUGCCAUUAAACGCCUCGGAAUUGCAUGCAGAGAGCCCCUCUCACCUCCCUGUCUCUGGUUCAUGCUUAGACUGUGUGUGCGAGCAGCUGUUCUCGACCACCUGUGAAGGUGAGAUCGUGUGCACGCAUAGGCGCUGGCAGAGCGCCACCUAAGCGGUCCACGAGGGACCCAGUAGGGACAAAUGUGACAUCGAUCCACCGAAGCCCUUUCUUUACUCUUUUUGUUCACUUUCUCUUUUGAAAAAUACAAUAGAAGGCACCCAAAAAAUGGUUGUAUUGUUCCACUCCUGCAAUUACUGUUCAUCAGUAAGAGAUGACAUGAUAAUGAAAAACGUAUCCUGCAAAAUUCGUUGAACCCACCAGAGGAUUCUAGGGUAUUAAAUUUGGGGUAUUAUUCAUAUGAUGGAUUUGUAUCCACCACUUUUCUGUACACUGCUGUUCAUUUUCUUGAAUAAAAAGUAUGAGUCAUGCAAUAUUAUUAUUUUCUUCUUUUGAUACCUGAAAUGUGCUGAGCUUAACUGAGCAAAAAGUGAUAGAAGACUGUUUUUCUCAUGACGUCAAUACAUAUAUUUUAUCCCCUCUAGCCACCCACAUGUGGCCACUUACACAGGAGGAAUAAACAAUCUACCAUGUAGAAAGC